rnacentral:rRNA from 1 species
GAUGAACGCUGGCGGCGUGCCUAAUACAUGCAAGUCGAGCGAACAGAUGAGGAGCUUGCUCCUCUGACGUUAGCGGCGGACGGGUGAGUAACACGUGGAUAACCUACCUAUAAGACUGGAAUAACUUCGGGAAACCGGAGCUAAUACCGGAUAAUAUAUUGAACCGCAUGGUUCCAUAGUGAAAGACGGUUUUGCUGUCACUUAUAGAUGUAUCCGCGCCGCAUUAGCUAGUUGGUAAGGUAACGGCUUACCAAGGCAACGAUUCGUAGCCGACCUGAGAGUGUGAUCGGCCACACUGGAACUGAGACACGGUCCAGACUCCUACGGGAGGCAGCAGUAGGGAAUCUUCCGCAAUGGGCGAAAGCCUGACGGAGCAACGCCGCGUGAGUGAUGAAGGUCUUCGGAUCGUAAAACUCUGUUAUUAGGGAAGAACAAAUGUGUAAGUAACUAUGCACGUCUUGACGGUACCUAAUCAGAAAGCCACGGCUAACUACGUG